AAGAACAUUUCAGUCCUGAUAUUUGCUGUAACUAAUAAUUACUGGAUAAACAGAGAAGACACAUGGAGGAUCUUUUACCUGGGUCCAACAAAACCAUAGCAACAGCAGCAAGUUGAAAAAAGCAAAAAAAAAAAAACAAAAAAGAGACCGAGGUAUAAUUACAAUCCCAUCCCACAAAAAGGUCAAGGGCUACCCGAAAGACUGGUGGGCCCCAGGAUCCUCAAAGCAUCCAAGCCAUCCCUAUACUCUCAGAUUAAUAAUCCUUGAAUAUUUUAAUGGGAACGGAUAACCAGACUUGGAUCAUCUCUGCCAUCCUAAAGAUCCAGUCCAGAGAAGGAAGAAAGAAAGCCUUCCACACGUGUGCCUCUCACCUCACAGUGGUUGCCCUGUGCUAUGGUGUGGCCAUUUUCACUUACAUCCAGCCCCACUCCAGUCCCUCUGUCCUUCAGGAGAAGUUGUUCUCUGUCUUUUAUGCCAUUUUGACACCAAUGCUGAACCCUAUGAUUUACAGCCUAAGGAAUAAAGAGGUGAAGGGGGCCUGGCAGAAACUAUUUUGGAAAUUCUCUGGGUUAACAUCAAAGCUGGCAACUUGACUCAUGAGUAUGACUUAGAGAAAACAGCUUUGCCUCAGUGUUCUCCACCCAACUCAGAUCUGACAGGUGUAAACUACAUUGCCCUGGCAACCAGGAAGGAGAUGACAUAGCAUGUAUUGUGGAUGUUAUGUAGGAGGGUGAGUGGUUCAGUUGGAUGGGGUGUGGGACGUGGGGUUAUAUUUAUGAACAGUGGAGUUAGAUACUGCUGUUAUAAAACUUCCCACACUUCUUCCACCUCCACUCUUACAGCCUGACAAUCGUUGAAAAAAAAUUACUACUUACUGUUUUGAUUUGUCACAUCGUUUGUAAUCAUAGACCUACUCAUCGAUCUUACCUUGGACCACUGGUACUUACACAUCCACAUUUUAUAAAAGAUUAUGGGGCUUCCAUUGAAAACAAAAUGCAUUUUUACAUUUGAAGACUCACUUUAAAUAAUUUGUAGUGUAUGUCAUCACAUGCAGUAAUUGCGUGAGUCAACAUUCUAAGAAAAGUGUUAUUGUCAAGGCUGACUAAAAUGUUUUUGUGCAGGACCUAACAAAAGGUGAACAUAAUGUCUUCUCCUGAGUGCUGGAGCUAAUUCAGUAAAAAAAUAUCAACUCAAGGUCUUGUUUCACCUCGAUAGGGUGACAGUCAAUGGUUGUUUGUAACGAAGACUAUUAUUGACCAAGAAAAGUUAAGCUUCAGGUGCUUCUUGACAGUAUUCAAACAGUUUGAGAAGGAUUUUACUGCAUAUAUAGGUAUAUCAUUUAAAAUAUUAAAAAUGAUCAAUCUCUGAAAAAUCUGUAAGCUCUUUCUCAGAAUCUUUAGAAACACAAAAAAGCACACAAAUUAUGAGAUACUGUGAAAAAUGUCAAAGACAUAGUUAAUUUAAGGAAAAACUCUUCAGCCAAAGUCAAUGAAGGGUAAGCUAAUUUAAUAUGAAGUUUGGAACAUCAAGGAAGGUCAGUCAACUAUGCAAAUGUUACCCUCAAGUCUCCACAUUGAGAACUUCUCUUUCCCCCUCCAUCUUCCCCGCCCUCACACACACAACAGAGCCAUAGGUGAAUUUUUGUAAAUCUUGUAACCUGGGCUUGUCUGAGAAUGGACUUCCCUUUGAAAAGAAGGGUAACUGAUGUAAAAGGAGAAGACAUAAUUGAAAAAGGGGAAAGAAAAGAAAGAAUAUGAUCAUAGCUGGUCUUCCUACUCCCUUGAAGGAGACAAAGUCCUUUCUUCCUUUUGUAUCCUCUUUAAGUCAGUUGAUUUGCAGUUCUUACAUUUAUCAACACAUCAUCAUAGAAUCUAAGAGUUCUUACAGUGUUGAAGGCAUAUAACCCAAAGCCCAUUUGACAUCUGAAUUUUAUAUUAAUAGUAAUGCAAUCUUAAAUUUCACAAGAUAGGCAGGCAUCCUAAAAGAUGGCAAUGCUGGCAAAUUAAAUUUUUAUUUCAAGUAUUAUCAGUGGAGUAUCUAUUAUGUGUCAGUGUCAAUAAAUGGUUGUUGGACACAAUAGUCAAUAUGAUACCAUCCUGACAAGGAUAACUUUGCAUAGUAGGGAGGACAGAUGAUGAAACAAUGAUAAUGCAUUGUGGUAAGUGUUACAGUGAAGGGGAGCCCACUGGAAAUGUUUGCAGAAGGCUUCCUAUAAAAGGACCCUUGGAUUGAGACCAGAAAUGUAAGAACAAGUUAUCCAGAAGACAAGAAACCCAAACAAGAAACAACCUGUACAAAGUUGUAGAGAUGUGAGCAAGCAUGAAAGUCCAAAAAAUGUUGGAAGUUCAAUUUCAGGGCACAGAAGAGUGAGAGAGUAGUGAGGAUGAAGCAGGUGGGUUAGACAUGGUCAGAUCCUGGAAGGUGUCGAAUGUCUAAGUAUCUUUUAACUUUAUUCUGAUAGAAAACAAUAGUCCGUCAAAAAUAUUUAGAAGGAGUAUAGAUUGAAAACAAUUACAUUUUAAAAGUAUCACUCUGGCAAAUGAGAUAGUGGAAGAAAAGAUUAGAGGCAAGAUGACCAGCCUGUCUGCUGGGUCUGCUUCAGUAAUACUCUUGAGACAUUACAGACAUCUGAAUUUAGAUGCAAUGGGAAGAAGACAAGUAAAGCAGUGUCAUUUAAAAGUGAUGUCAGCUAAAACACUUCAUCUCCCAGAUUGGAAAUGCCAUCUGAAUAUCAUUCCUCUUCCAAAAUGUGAUGAUGCUGUCUGAACAUUCUGUAAAUUGUGUAGUAAACUGGAAAAUUCACCAUCAUGAACAUGCCCUAUAUAAAAUGGUAUGGGAAAGAGAUAAGAAAAAAGUAAUCAAAAAUACAAAUAUACACAUAAUACAUCAAGGAGGAAAAUACAUGAAGAUGCUAUAUCUUCAUUUCUUCCAGCGGUCAUGUGGUCACAGUGUUUGUGACAUUUCUCCAUCAACCAUCACACAAUCCUCUGCCUUCAAACAACUCCUAAGCAUGUUGGGGUUCUUCCUGGAAGGGUUAUCCAAGUCUUGAUAUCUCAGGAAGCAGAAAUGCUGAGAGUGGGCAUUAGGUGUGUAGAAAUAGACUACUAUAGUCUCAUAUUCUGUAUUAGUCAGGGUUCUUUAGAGAGACAAGACUAAUGGGAUAGAUGAAUAUAUGAAAAGGAGUUUAUUAAGGAGCAUUGACUCACACGAUCAAAAGGUAAAGUCCCACAAUAGGCCUUCUGUAAGCUGAGGAGCAAGGAAGCCAGCUGGAGUUCCAAAACCUCAAAAGUAGGGAAGCCAACAGUGCAGCCCUCAGUCUGUGGCCAAAGGCCCGAGAGCCCCUGGUCAACCACUGGUGUAGGUCCAAGAGUCCAAAAGCUGAAGAAAUUGGAGUGGAGUCUGAUGUUUAAGGUCAGGAAGCAUCCAGCACAGGAGAAAGAUGGAGGCCAGAAGUCUCAGGCAAUAUAGUCCUUCCAUGUUCCUCUACCUGCUUUUAUCCUAGCCAUGCUGGCAGCUGAUUAGAUGGUGCCUACCCAGAUUGAGGGUGGGCCUGCCUCUCCUAGUCCACUGACUCAAAUGUUAAUCUCCUUUGGCAACACCUCCACAGACACACCCAGGAACAAUACUUUGUAGGCUUCAAUCCAGUCAAGUUGAUAGUCAAUAUUAACCAUCACAUAUUCCAUCUAUUAAAUUUCAAUUUUUAUCUUUUUUAUUUGAUAGAGUUUUUAAUUUCAAGUCUGCACUUUCUCGGUAACUUAAAUCUUCAUAAAUUAAAUUUGUUGGAUCACUUUAAGACUACACACACUUCUAAUUCAUAGCUGCUUGUGAAGGACAUUCCCAAUAGGAGGCAUGAACAUUGUCUUGAUACAGGAAUACAAAAUAAGAUGCUAUUCUAAACUUUAUUGUUUAUUUAGCCAUUAAAUAGAAAAAAUUUAAAAAGACACUGAAAAGUAUUUGAAAAUAAAAUAUUUUUCAUUAGUUAAUAACCAUAAAAACACCACUGAAGGUUUUCCUUAAAAAUCUAAU
rnacentral:sRNA from 1 species